UACGGGAGGCAGCAGUGGGGAAUAUUGGACAAUGGGCGAAAGCCUGAUCCAGCAAUGCCGCGUGAGUGAUGAAGGCCUUAGGGUUGUAAAGCUCUUUUACCAGGGAUGAUAAUGACAGUACCUGGAGAAUAAGCUCCGGCUAACUCCGUGCCAGCAGCCGCGGUAAUACGGAGGGAGCUAGCGUUGUUCGGAAUUACUGGGCGUAAAGCGCACGUAGGCGGCGAUUCAAGUCAGAGGUGAAGCCCGGGGCUCAACCCCGGAACUGCCUUUGAAACUGAUUGCUAGAAUCCUGGAGAGGUUAGUGGAAUUCCGAGUGUAGAGGUGAAAUUCGUAGAUAUUCGGAAGACACCAGUGGCGAAGGCGACUAACUGGACAGGUAUUGACGCUGAGGGUGCGAAAGCGUGGGGAGCAAACGAGGGAUUAGAUACCCGU
rnacentral:rRNA from 1 species